UCGGUUGGGGAUGGGCUCGCGGCCUAUCAGUUUGUUGGUGAGGUAAUGGCUCACCAAGACGACGACGGGUAGCCGGCCUGAGAGGGCGACCGGCCACACUGGGACUGAGACACGGCCCAGACUCCUACGGGAGGCAGCAGUGGGGAAUAUUGCACAAUGGGGGAAACCCUGAUGCAGCGACGCAGCGUGCGGGAUGACGGCCUUCGGGUUGUAAACCGCUUUCAGCAGGGAAGAAGCGCAAGUGACGGUACCUGCAGAAGAAGUACCGGCUAACUACGUGCCAGCAGCCGCGGUAAUACGUAGGGUACGAGCGUUGUCCGGAAUUAUUGGGCGUAAAGAGCUCGUAGGUGGUUGGUCACGUCUGCUGUGGAAACGCAACGCUUAACGUUGCGCGUGCAGUGGGUACGGGCUGACUAGAGUGCAGUAGGGGAGUCUGGAAUUCCUGGUGUAGCGGUGAAAUGCGCAGAUAUCAGGAGGAACACCGGUGGCGAAGGCGGGACUCUGGGCUGUAACUGACACUGAGGAGCGAAAGCAUGGGGAGCGAACAGGAUUAGAUACCCUGGUAGUCCAUGCCGUAAACGUUGGGCACUAGGUGUGGGGGGCAUUCCACGUUCUCCGCGCCGUAGCUAACGCAUUAAGUGCCCCGCCUGGGGAGUACGGUCGCAAGGCUAAAACUCAAAGGAAUUGACGGGGGCCCGCACAAGCGGCGGAGCAUGCGGAUUAAUUCGAUGCAACGCGAAGAACCUUACCAAGGCUUGACAUACACCGGACCGUCCUGGAAACAGGUCCUCUUCUUUGAAGCUGGUGUACAGGUGGUGCAUGGUUGUCGUCAGCUCGUGUCGUGAGAUGUUGGGUUAAGUCCCGCAACGAGCGCAACCCUCGUUCUAUGUUGCCAGCACGUGAUGGUGGGAACUCAUAGGAGACUGCCGGGGUCAACUCGGAGGAAGGUGGGGAUGACGUCAAAUCAUCAUGCCCUUUAUGUCUUGGGCUUCACGCAUGC
rnacentral:rRNA from 1 species